GGGAGUGAGUGUGAGUGUGAGAGCAAGAACAGCCCGCAGGUCCCGAGGCGCUUGCAGGGGACUCUGCCGCGGAAAGUUCCCAGUCCCCAGCCGCAGAAGCUUUUUAUUUUUGGUUGAUUCCUGCUGUCUACUCCUCUUGGAUGCCUUUGUGAAACUGCUUCUAUCUGAGAAGGAGGAGUUGCCAUUUAGCAAGUAGUAGGUGGUACCGUGUGUGGCAGAGUCCGAUGUGUUACACCACGAGGACAUUCAUCUUUGCAAUUGGUGAAGUCCUUCUACCUAGUUCCCCUUCCUUGUGCACAGAAGAGGACUGGAAAACUCCUCACAGGACUGCAUACUGCUAUCUCUGAGAAACCAGAAAGAAGAAAGUACCUCUUCCUUCCAAGCUUCUACCUAAGAGUAUACUGGAAGGUUUACCUAGAGCAACAAGACAACGAAAUGGAUUGUCCUUCUCACGCUAGUCCACACACAAUCCUCAUCAUUUUGAUAAGAUAGCAUGAAGUCUCUUAUCGCUUGUGGAUCCAGCACUUUGGUUCAGCCUUAGAAGCCGAAAAAUCCAGACAAGGAAAAUGACAGUGGCUUAUUCCUCUGAGUCCACACAUUCCCCAUAUAUAUCAUGUGAAAAUGGAGAAAUGAGACAGUCAUCAUCUUCAAGGUGAAGAAAUACAGUUUGUCCCUUCCUCUCAAAAUGAAGAAAGCUACAUUCAUGUAUAUGUAUCUGGACUUCAUUAAUUUGUUUCUAUUUCCAUUUUGUUACCUCUCUGAGACAAGUAUGAAGCUUGUCUCUAAAAUUAUAGUUAUGUACUAUUACUCAUUUGAAAUGAUAAUAAUUACUCAUUAAUAAAUACUAAAAUAUUUGAAACCACAAAGCAUUUAAAUUCCUCAUAAGGGGCUAUAGAUGGAAUUAUAAGAGAAAAUACCCUUAAGGUGAUUCCCCAUGACGAUGAAUUAUUCCUGGAGAAUUUGCAACCCUACUGUGACCAUUAGUAUCUGCUGGAUUUCCCUGCUCUAAGAGGCUAAUGUAUCUGACCAACUAAUCAGAGGAACCAUGAGAGCAGAUGAUGCCUGAACCUUCAUUACUUGUCUUUCCUGCUUCUGUAAUUUUGAUGCUUUGUUAUUUUCUGUCUCUGUGCUCAAACACUGAUUGGUUAUUCAAACCAAUGACAAGCUGAAGAAUUGGACAGUCUUCCAGGUGAUUUAUUUUCUAUUUCUUAUUUCUGAAACCUAAAUGUAGCUCAUGUUGUGUAAGAAAAGUCAUCUCUUGACUUUCUGAAAAAUAAUUUUCUGAUCUUUGUCUUGUAUUGUCAAUAGCUUCCUAUACCCUAUACAAACACCAUUGCACUGGCGUGGUAGAGAAAUGCCAUCUAACCUUUUAUUUAAUGAUUAUUAUGUUGGCUGUACUAGAUAAACACAAACCACAGAAAUCAAAA
rnacentral:lncRNA from 1 species